GACGAACGCUGGCGGCGUGCCUAAUACAUGCAAGUAGAACGCACAGUUUAUACCGUAGCUUGCUACACCAUAGACUGUGAGUUGCGAACGGGUGAGUAACGCGUAGGUAACCUGCCUGGUAGCGGGGGAUAACUAUUGGAAACGAUAGCUAAUACCGCAUAAUAUUAAUUAUUGCAUGAUAAUUAAUGGAAAGGUGCAAUUGCACCACUACCAGAUGGACCUGCGUUGUAUUAGCUAGUAGGUGAGGUAACGGCCCACCUAGGCGACGAUACAUAGCCGACCUGAGAGGGUGAUCGGCCACACUGGGACUGAGACACGGCCCAGACUCCUACGGGAGGCAGCAGUAGGGAAUCUUCGGCAAUGGACGAAAGUCUGACCGAGCAACGCCGCGUGAGUGAAGAAGGUUUUCGGAUCGUAAAGCUCUGUUGUAAGAGAAGAACGGGUGUGAGAGUGGAAAGUUCACACUGUGACGGUAUCUUACCAGAAAGGGACGGCUAACUACGUG
rnacentral:rRNA from 1 species